UCAUCAUCACUUCAUCAUCCAUCGUAUGUCUCUCUAAUCUUUAUCAUACUCGCACAUAUGUUUUAAACCGCAAAUAUACAAUCAAAUUAUUCGUACAUAUGUAUACAAUACAUGAGCAUGUUAUCAAAUGAUUCGUACAUGUGCAUGUAUACAUGAUCAUGUGUGUGUGCUUGGAAUCAUUACGAUUUUUAUUGACUAUACACAUUGUCAGGAUCAAAGGUCGAAGAAGAAGUGAAGAUAUAUCAACUGAUUAUAUGUUUGGAGAUGAUUAAUAAGAAUCAUAGAAAAUGAUCAGCGAUAUGGAGUAAUCCUAUAACAACUGGUUCGAGUUUGAUCGAAUCGAUAUUUCUUUUCUUUCGAUUGCUUCGAAUAAAAAGUUGGAUCAUGGUUUGAGGCAAGUAAAAGAUCACCAGUUCCCCCUUUCACAACUUCAAUCUCUUUUGUCAAGGAUUAUAUUAUUACAUACUCUAUGUUUUAAUUUUCAACCAAAUUCAGGUUCUUAUUUUGUCAGAUUAUAUGAACUAAUAUUCAAUUCUAUAAUUGUUAUUUUUGUAUGACCAUUACGUGGUAUAAAAUCUCUUUAGCUAGUAUUCACUGAUACUCGAUUAAAAAUUCCGUAUG
rnacentral:misc_RNA from 1 species